AUAAUUAAAAAAAAAAAAAGCAAAAACAUUUUUCUAUGUGUUGAUUCAUAACUUUAUCCUCUACUGAUCUUCAUGGCUGAUUCACACGAAAUUGCUCUGACUAAGAUCUCCGAUUUACAAUCAGAGGUUUAUUGACGGCGAUAAGGUAUGUAUCGAAGAAUAUGAGUCUGAUCAAGUUGGUGAAAUAUGAUUUGAAGGAUGAACAACCUUUCUAAAUUUGGGGACCAAUUUUAGCCUAUACAGUAAAAUCUGAACUGAACAUGCUUAUCAACAAUCAUGAAUUUGUGGCAUUGUUACUUACGAAGGAUCAAUAAUAGUUUUGAAACUACUGGUCAAUGGUGGAGUCGGGUAGAAGAUUGCUGAUACCAGAUAAGACUUUUCUAAUCUAUCUUACUACUUCUUACCAUUUUUUUUUUCCAUUUGCUAAAACAGAGAAUGAUCUUUUUGUUGUGUAAGAAAAGUCUGAACUGAACAUGCUUAUCAACAAUCAUGAAUCCGCGGGUUAAAGGUUGCACAAUGAAUAUGCUAAGGAAGGACAAUCAAAAUCAGAUAAGUUUUCAUUAUGUUUGCCCAGUAUGUAGUGUAUGUUAGUAUGAAUUUAUAAAACUAUGAGAUAUUGCGUGAAAUUAAGUUGAAUUAAGUCCUUUUUGACUGCGUGGAUCUUCAUCCACUAUGAUAAUUAAAAUAGAAAAUAAUAAGAUUCGUGUCAAGAAUAAAAUGAAUAUUAGAAAGUAGUUUAACUUGUAUUCUUACAGUUUUAUCAGCCAAUAUCAACUCUAGCUCUUCUCCUGUGUUGUUUGUAUACUUAUGCUAGUUAUGGAGGACUUUCACUUGUACUCUCCACGCUGUCUUGUAUGGACGGAUAUCUCGCAAGAAAGCAAAUGAUGCAGCCAUCUCUCCCGAGUUGUGUUUGGAUAUGCAAUUGUAGGUUUUAAUCGUGGGUGUUGUUAUGUUUCGUUUGUGAAAGUAGUAUUUAUAGAUUCCAAUAUGCUUGAUGAGCAAGGAUUUUACGAUGUACUCAUUUUAAAGAGAGAUUUCAGCAAUCAACGUUUUAUUAAAACAAAGAUUUUUUAAGCAA